CGUCGGGAUCCUGGCAGCAACUCACCCCCGGAGACCACAUUGUUCUCCCGGCCCCGGUCAGCCCAGGGAACCAAUUCCACGAACACCCGCGACUGAGGGGCCUGCUGCAAAGACAUAGCGAGGGUAGCUGGGUUUCCAUAGCAACUUAGAGACUACGGCGGCCGAAGGAGCCAAACCGCGCCAGACUUUUUGUGCGUGGUGCAAAGGAUGCUGGGAUGGGCUUGGAGGGCCCACAGUUAUGGAUGCGAGCUGCGAGGAUUUUGCAGUGUCUCCUUUACCAGAUGUUGGCUGGGCACGUUAUUAAUAGUUUUUAACGUGUUUACGUUACGGCUUCCAAAAAUCUUAGUGAGUUCUCUCUGCGCCCUCCCUCUUAGCGCCGCCUUUCCAUGCCCACCGUCCGUGACUGUCCCCCUAUCUAGCUUACCUCCGAAGAAGCUCCGGAGAGGCCAGGCUGGGCAGAGUGAGAGUGCUUUUACAUUUCUCUGACGCCGGUCUGCGAUUGUCCCCAGCCUUGUCUAAUUUGACUUUACCGGUUCGUCUUGGGCACAGACCGCUCUUUGAGGCUGCACAGCGCCACGGCUGGGCUGUCCUAUGUUUUGCUGUUGAAUUGGAAACCACCUGAUUCUGUAUACACACUUGACUGACCUGUUGGACACUUCAGUUUGUCAGAUGCAGCUAUCAUCCUGAUGUGGUACAGCUUAUGGAAGCUUUGUUCAUUGGCUCCAUACCCAGCAUGGAACCCAACGCGGGGCUUUAGCUCGUGAUCCUGAGAUCAAGACCCGUGCUGCGAUCAAGAGUCAGAUGCCCAACUGACUGAGCCACCCAGGUGCCCCUAGAAAUUUCCCUUUAAAAGCUUGGAUUGUUUUCAGGCUUUCCUUUGGCUUCAUCCUCUUCCAUCACCUUGUAGUACUGCACAAUAUUGACAACCUUUUCCACGUUGAAAGAGUUACCUCUUGAUGGUUUCCCUACAUGUUCUUCCUAUGACUUCUUUCUUACCGGAGGAAAAUCUCCAGAUUAUGGGAGAAUGAUUGGUUCUGUUUGUAUCUGUGACAAUUCAAGAAAGGGUGGGAAGAUGAGAAUCUGAAGAUGUUCAGCUAAGGGUACUUUUUUGGGGCGCCUGGGUGGCUCAGUCGGUUAAGUGUCCAACUUCAGCUCAGGUAAUGAUCUCACAGUUUGUGAGUUCAAGCCCCUCAUCGGGCUCUGUGCUGACAGCUCGGAGCCUGGAGACUGCUUCAGAUUCUGCGUCUCCCUCUCUCUCUGCCCCUCCCAUGCUCGCACUCUGUCUCUCUCUCUCUCUCAAAAAUAAAUAAACAUUAGAAAAAUUAAAAAAAAAAAAAAGAAAAGGGUACUUUUUUGGACCCUUCAGACUUCAGGAGAAAUCCCAUAGAUUUCAUGGAGGCUGCCUGACAACUACUGCCCUGGUGAGCCUUUGGGGCUACAACGUAGAUUAGCUUCUACCCCACCUUUAGUGUUGCUGAGAUUGCUAAGAAUUUUCUCAAGCUCUGGAGGUACCAGGAAUAACUCAUCUCUAGUUCUGGAAAGUCUUAGGAACAGCUUACCUUCCAAUAGCACCCUUGAUAUAGUCUGCAUGCUUCACAGGCGUGGUCUGGUCUCCAUCUCACCGUUGUCCUUUCACACAAGGUAAUGGAAGACAGUGUUAAUGAAAGCAGCCUCUCUUAUUUUAUUAAGACCUGAGAAGGAAUUUUAGUUACUUGGUCACCUGCAUGUUUCUGAGGGAAUUAUCAACAUCAGGAAAACAAAUUAUAUUAUCAUGCAGAACGUAGGAAAUGUUAUACAUAGUUCAGACUAUAUUGGCAACAUAAUUUUGAAAACGUUGAUUACAGGAAUGGACAAAAGUUUGGAAAACUAUAUUUUUAGUAGGCAGGGGAUUUUUGUAGAAAUAUCACAUCCAGUUUUCUGUUAUUUCAGUAUAAGACUGGCUAUAUAACUACAGAUGUGAGAGAGAUGCUAUGCAAAAACAAUUUUUUUCCUUCUUACAUAACCCUGAAUUUGUUGUGAAGCAGUAUGUCAUUGUCUAAUCCAAUCACGAUGGUGCUAUUGGCCACAUUGUCAAUUUCCCAUACUCCCUUUCAGUUGGAAAGAUUCACGUGACCCAGUUCUACCCAGUGACAUGUAAAGGGAAUUCUGCUGUAGGGUCAGAGAAAGAAUUUUUUCUCUCUGUUAAAAAGGUGAGAGUAGCUUAGCUACCCUUUUCUCCUGCCUGUGAAUGUAGUCAUGAUGCUUGGACUUGUGAGACUGUUAGGCAAUAAAUACUAAACAUACUAACAUGCUGUUGAUGGUUGAUAGGAAGGAUGGAAAAAAGUCCGAGUCUUGAGGAUAUUGUUGAACUUUUAGACCCACCCUUGCCUAUCUAUAUCUAAACUUACUAACCAAAAAACAGACAUCCUAUUUGUUUUUCCUACUGUUAGUUGGUUAUUCAUUCAUUGUAA